rnacentral:lncRNA from 1 species
AGAGGGAAUUCCACCUGCCCUUGAAGUUGAUGUGCACUGAGAUGCCCAUUCUUCCUGUCCAUUUGGCCCUUCAGGUGUGGUGACCAUUUGCAUGCCAAGCUUGAGGACACUGGAAUUCUGCGAAGUCAUCUGUUCCCUUGCCCACGUGCAGGUGGAGACGGAACCCUAGACACUGCUCAUCCCAAUCAGGCCCUUUCCAGGCCUGUCCCAUUCCAAUCGGGCAUCAGAUGUGGCAUUGAUCAUCAUCUACUUAACAAACGAGGCUCCCCUUUCAAUGCACUUGGGUCUCCUCUGGGCCAACCUUGGUUCUGAGAUAGCAGGUGCUGAAAUACUGCUGAAUCCUCAAAGCCAGACUAGCCAGUGCCUGGCACCUGAUGGGAAUAUGAUUUCAACGAACAGCUCACAGAAUCCUCCCCACAAAGCCGAGAAGCAGGAAGCAGCAACCCUCCCAGAUGAAGAAGCGAAGGCUCGGAAAAGCUAAGUAACUUCUCCAAGCUGACGCAGCUCGUGAGAGGAGGGACUGGGAUUCAAAUCCCUGCAGGGGGAGACCAGCAGCCCCGACUUCAGCCGCCAUGCCUCCUGCCUGAGAAGCUAGCUGCGAAGGUUCCAGAAGGAGACUGCCCUCCGGGAACAGAAACAGCGCAUGACUGCGACCUGUCUGCAAAAAUCUUGAUCACUUGUAAAUCCUUCUCCACCUGAUAAGUUAUCACAUUGGCUCAUGAUGUUUUUUUUCAUUCUCACCCUAUGGCGUGGAUGCUGUUACUACCCCAUUUUACAAAGGAGUAAAGUGAGGCCCAGAGAGAACAGUUAAAUCACUUCCCCAGCUUCACUCAACUCAUCUACGGUGAGUCGACGGUACACAUGCCCUUCCACAACACAAAGGUCUCCACUUUGCCACGUGUCACUCUGAUGGUUCCAGGUGCAGAUUUUGCGUCUGCUUCUUGACUUCUAAUGGCUGCACCAUUUUGCAUUGGAUGGUUAUACCAUCAUUUAUUUGACUCAUCUCCUGUGCACAAGCAUCUAGUUUAUCUGCAAACUUUUGCUACCAAAAACAAUGCUGCAAUGAAUAAAUAAGCUGAUGCCUGCUUCUAAGCGUGCGUGCAUGCUGUAAUGUGAGAUGAAUUCCCAGAAGUGGAGUGGCUGAGUCCAAGAGUAAAUGCAUUUUUCAUUUUGAUAGUAUCGCCAAAUGUCUUUCCAAAGGGGUUGUGCUGGAUCCCACUCCAGCUAGCAAUGUGUGAGAGCACCAAUCCCACCGCCCACUGCAGCACACAUAUUGACGUCGGCUAGUCCAAUACCAGCACAGGCAGCUGGGC